rnacentral:rRNA from 1 species
UUUCGACAAAUACCUUAAACCCUUUAUCAUUAUUAAGUAAUAAUUGAAUUUCUCCUAAAUAUAAGCAUAAACCAAAAUGGACUAACCGUUGGUAAUUAAUUUAUAAAAAUAUAAAAGUCUUCAUGCUAGAACUAGUAACAAGACGUUUAUUAGCCUAUUAUAACAACACCUCAAGAAAAUACUAUAACUGUACACGUUAACCUUACACAAGCAUAUUCUAGGAAAGAUUAAAAGAAUGGGAAGGAACUCGGCAAACUUUAACCCCGCCUGUUUACCAAAAACAUCGCCUCUUGAUUAAAUAUAAGAGGUCCAGCCUGCCCAGUGAAUUACUUAAACGGCCGCGGAACCAUAACCGUGCAAAGGUAGCAUAAUCAUUUGUCCUUUAAAUAGGGACUCGUAUCAACGGCACCACGAGGGUUAUACUGUCUCCCCCCUCUAAUCAGUGAAACUGACCUCCCCGUGAAGAGGCGGGGAUUGUUAUACUAGACGAGAAGACCCCAUGGAGCUUUAAACCCAAUAAUAUUCUCAUCAAUGGCACUUCAUCAAAGUUAUAAAAGUUUUAUCUUUUGGUUUUAGGUUGGGGUGACCACGGAGUAAAACAAACCCUCCUUGACGAACAGGCCUUAGCCUAAUCCAAGAGUCACUACUCUAAGANUCAAGAAUUUGACGUAAAAUGAUCCGCAAGCCGAUCAACGAACCAAGUUACCCUGGGGAUAACAGCGCAAUCCAUUUCGAGAGCCCCUAUCGACAAAUGGGUUUACGACCUCGAUGUUGGA